rnacentral:rRNA from 1 species
AACGCGAAGAACCUUACCUGGUCUUGACAUCCCAGGAACCCUAUAGAGAUAUGGGGGUGCCUUCGGGAACCUGGAGACAGGUGCUGCAUGGCUGUCGUCAGCUCGUGUCGUGAGAUGUUGGGUUAAGUCCCGCAACGAGCGCAACCCUCGCCUUUAGUUGCCAUCAUUCAGUUGGGCACUCUAGAGGGACUGCCGGUGAUAAGCCGGAGGAAGGUGGGGAUGACGUCAAGUCCUCAUGGCCCUUACAGGCUGGGCUACACACGUGCUACAAUGGCGGUGACAGAGGGAAGCGAAGGAGCGAUCCUUAGCCAAUCUCGAAAAGCCGUCUCAGUUCGGAUUGCACUCUGCAACUCGAGUGCAUGAAGUUGGAAUCGCUAGUAAUCGCGGAUCAGCACGCCGCGGUGAAUACGUUCCCGGGCCUUGUACACACCGGUAC